ACAGAGCAAUUUUUAAUUCUGAAAAAUUCUGUCAGGAAGGCUUGUGUCUGUGUUUGUGUCUGUAUGCCUUUGUGUCCGUGUGAGUCUGUGCCAGUGUGUAUUGGUGACGCCAAGGUCUGAUUCCUUUGGCUACUUCUUAGUCAGGAUUUGACAGCAAUCUUCAGCCUGUCUCAACUUCAGACUUUUUUAUUCUCGAUCUGCAUUUGCUGGCUACAGGUCUUUUUGUGAUGCCCCUCUUCCUAUUAUCACCUGAGAGCUAUUUCCAUCCUGUCUCUGUAUUGGAGGUUUGGGGCCGAAUCUUGGAGCCCCAACCUGCUUCAAUUCUGAAAUAUCCAACACACCUGGAAGGAUCGAACUAUUGAUUAAAUCUGAGGUCAGCUCUAAAUUUGAGUGGGCUUAGUUUCUGGACGCCUUAGGCUUCAGGACCCAGGCUAGCUGCCUGCCCAGCUACCCAGAGGUGAAGGAAGUUCAGAAUUGUCAGGAGCCACUGAAAAAGUUACAAGAAACCGAGGACCUGGACCCCUUCGGAUUGGAGCCACCCACCCCACGUCUAUCUCUACUCUGUUUCGCCUCUCUGUCCCCCACUCCGUCCAGCAGAACUUGUUGCCUGGUCCCAAAGCAAGUUUCUGAACUAAUUUCUAGGACUCCUGCUUCCUGGCGGACCAGCAAGCCUUCCCCAAUGCCAGGGAGAGACGAGGAAAUCAAACCUGGGCUUCGGAGACGGGAGCUGCCUGAGCUAAUGCCAGGGAGGCCUCCCAGGGCCAGGCCAGGACGCUGAAAAGCAUGAAGGGUCGGAAUUAGACUCUCAUUUAGUGAGCGUUACUAAUCCGAAGUUACAGCGCUAAUUCCCUGAUCCGCCAGGUCCCACACGCAGCGCCCGGAUUAGAGGCGCAGAGCUCGCCCUCAAACCCCCCUCCACCCCAAACGGAGCUCAACUGGGGCACCGGAGUCUGCAGGAUCAGGGUUAAUCCUUCUAUCCGCACCGGGUGAGAACGUGCCACGGGGCUGUCCCCGAACCAGCUGGAGUUUACAUGCUUGAGGCGCUAGGCAGAAUUCGGGAAGGAGGAGGAGGAAGCAAAAGUCUUCACCCUUGCAACACCGAUUUCAAACCCUCUGUUAUCAUUGAAACCAAAUCACCUUUCCUAUAUAGCACCCAGUUGAAAGAAUACACUACAAUAUGCAAGAGAAUGGUGUGGGGUUUGAUUUUUUUUAGCCUUUUUGAUUUCUCAGACAACAGGAGCAGUGACUUGGACCAAAACAAAAUUCAGAAACUUUCAGAGGAGGCUGUCUGGAUUUCAGUUCUCUUUCCAAAUAUCCUUAUUCUCGUCUAUUUAGGGAGAUGGACCCCGUAGCAUCACUGUCCUCUCCUCUGUUCUCCAUCAACUUCUAGCUGCUCAGAGAUAGUGACCAAUCAGCUCCGGGGUCCGGGAUGGGAUGCUUGUAACCAUGGUGAUGAUGAGGGUUCUAAGUUCCACCCCGAGAUUUGUGAAUGAGAAUCUCACCCAUUCACAAACCAAUCUUUAUUCUCGAUGAGUUGAUGUGGCAGAGGGAUUAGAAGAAGUGGAGAAAGCUAGAGGAAGGCUAAGUGACCUCAUCAUGGGAGCUGAUCAGAGUCCCUGCCUGAAGUCCCGUGUCCUUUCAGUGAAAUUCCAAAUCAAAUGAUAUGGGACAGAUCAGAGCCUUAGGGUGGACAGGACCAAGCAGAUUAACAAGGAAGAAGAGUAGUUAUUCCUCCUCAGGGUAAACCAUGUGUCUUACUCAUAAAGAAAAUUGCACCCUUUUGGGUGAUGGAGAACUUCCAACUCUUUCAACUUUAGUUUCCAAGUUCUUACUGCCAUUCCUAAAGUUCUUCUUACUGUCAUUCCUAAAGUUCUUCUAUCUCACCUCUUAUUCCCCUUUCCUGACAUUUCCCCUCCCAAGAGUAAAUUUUAUUGUAGUUUUGGAAAUUAAUCUUUUACUCUCCUGUCUUCAAAUGAGACACAGGCCUUUAGACCCAUCCCAAACAAUAGCCUUUUUAAUGGGGAUGGGGCAAAGAGACUGAAAUAGUGGAAGGUAGUGUAGAGCUAUUAGGACACAGGAUAAAGGAAAGAUUGAAAAUUCAAAAAUAUUUGAAACAGAAGAACUAAGUUCCAGGAGUCAUACAACUUUCCUGAACUCAGGUUUUCAUCUCUCCAACAGACAGCUUCAGGGUAAGGGACUCUCAUUCUCUCUCUCUCUCUCUCUCUCUCUCUCUCUCUCUCUCUCUCUCUCUCUCUCUCUCUCUCUCUCUCUCUCUCUCUCUCAAAGGGGGUGGGGUGGAGUUUGAACAAAACCCUGGUCAGUUGUCUCUUAGAAUGGGCGGUUGCCUGUUCCUAUAGAGACUUACUCUUUCCCUCCACCCUGGUCCAGGCUUAAGCACCACUUUAAGUGGGCUCCGCUCAUUCACUGCCAGGCCCCUUGCAGCAAUUGAGCCGGCAGGGGUUUGAAAAGAGGGCCAGGGCCUCAAUGACAGGACCUUGGGCCAGACUAAUUGGUUUUGGUUCAAGGGGAUAUUGGAUUUGUGAAAAGCCCCAACCUGCCUUUCCCACGCCAGAGACCAGGGCCUUAAGGAAAGAGUGAGUCAAGGUGGGUGUGGCCAGAGGAGGGGAAAAAAAGAGAUAUCAACAUGGCUUCAGCAGGUGAUAUACCAAUCCAGACUAAAGAGUCCACCUAUUUCUUGAAGAGUAAUGGACUGUGUGUGUGUGUGUAUGUAUGGGAUUAGAAACUAAGAGGGUUGGUUACACAUAUAGAAUAAUAAAUAGCCUCUAUCUGAGACUUUCUAGAAGUAUUUUAGCCAUAGCUUUCUGGUUCUUAUAGGGAGGUAGGGGAAAUCAUUUUUAUAGGAACUUCGAUAUAGUUUUCCUUGUUGAGACUGGUCUAUUUGAAUCAAUGAUGCUCACUUUAACUAGAAUGUAUAGUGGGGGGAGGUAAUUAUUGUCUCAAGAGAAGAAUCUUCAUUCUAAGAAACCCAGCUGAUAGUCUUUCCUGUAUUAUAUAGGCCCUAUGAUUCUACUAGGGAAAAGAGAAAUCCCUGGCAUCCGUACCAAGGGUGCUAGUAAAAGCUUAAUGACAAGAUUACCUGAAGAUCCCCACAUAUGGGUUCCCUGAACUAAGGAAACAAAGGAUUCAGAUUGGCCCCUGGCACAAUUGUAAAUAGUUGUUACAAAGGGAUCCUUUAUACAUUCAUAUACUAAAGGAUAAAAUGUUUUGGUAGGUUUAAAGCCAUCAUUAUUGCUAACAAUAAUAAUAAUCUAAACAUGGUAGGACAUGCAUCUGGAGUCAUAGGGGCUAUAUAAAAGUGUCUAUAAAAUGAAUGUGCAUGCAUUCAGAAUAUCUAUUUUCAUAAAGAGCUUUAAUAAAGAGCUACACCCAAUUAAAAUCUGUGAUAAUGGCAAUGUUAGGGAUGACAGUGGACCAAAUGAAACUGUCCCCAUUUAAAGCUAUAUUCCAUUGAAUUAGAUAUAUUUUUUCAUGGUUCACAUUUUUUGUGUUGGCAUAAAAUUUUAUAUAUACUUCUCAACUCAAGAAAAUGCCAGCUUUUUAUUUAUAGACAAAUGCCCUCAUCUAUAUACUUGAUAUACAGGAUAGCCAGAAGCAUAAGUGAUCUUGAAAGAGGUAUAGAACUCCUUGUUGUAUGCCAAAUAUUCAGUUUUUGUUUUCAAAUUCUUCUUGCUUGGAAAAUAAUUUCUUUAGGAUUCUAGCUCUUUAACCUAUCAUAAUUUCCAUAGUUGAAGUUUGUGGAGAAAUACAUAUGUGUAUGUAUGUGUAUAUAUAUUUAUCAAUGGCUUACAUAAAAUCUAUUCCUGUGUAUGUUUAGAAUAUAUAGAGCCAUAUAUACACAUGCAAUUACAUGUGUGCCUUUUCUAUGGAACCUAGCUAAUUCUCACUUUACCAAUCCUCAAAUAUAUUAAGUUCCCUUUUUAAAAAAUGACAAGAACUAUGGCAUGCUAGUGGUCUCAACCCACUUCUCUAGCAUCAAGAUUUCCUAGCAGGGUGCUGGAGUGAAGUCUCCUAUUAGGCAGACUUCAUUAAUGUUACCAAAUAUACUCCAGCACAUUUACUAGUCUACUAUGAAGUAUUAUCAUAAAUAAUUAAAAUUAAACUGCACUUGUCAAAAUAAAUGAACAAAGUACAGUUAGUGAUGUCUUUGCCUUGAUUUGAUCGCCUUGGGUUUGCUUAUUCUCUAAUUUGCAAGGAGAAAAAAAAAAGAAAGAAAAGGCUGUGGAGGGAAAGAGUGUGAUGGAGAGUAAAGAAAGAGACCUAGUAAUCUGCAAUUGGAUUUCCAGUCAUUAGUGUGACUUAGUGAGGUUGGAAUGCAUUUUCUAAUGUCAGCUCAUAAUGAAUAUAGAGGUGUGGAUGCAGAAGGAGGGAUUUCUUUGUUUACUGAGAAAUAACCAUGGAGGAGGAGAAAGUAUUGCCUUUGGUGGAUUAAGGCUUGGGAUUUUUUAAAUGGAAGAUUGUACUCCUUUUCUGAAGUUAUCUUAGCUAAUUUAUUCAAUUCCUACAUCCUCAUAAGAUUAGCCAGGACUCUAUGAUGUGUGUGUGUGUGUGUGUGUGUGUGUGUGUGUGUGUGUGAGAGAGAGAGAGAGAGAGAGAGAGAGAGAGAGAGAGAGAGAGAGAGAGUUUCACAUUACCAUUCCCACAUGUGUCCUGGAAAAUUAUGCCCACCUAGCAAUAAAGAAUGCUCACAUUCUUGAUGCAAUAAGCUAGUAAAAACAUAAUAAUAAAUUAUUAAAUGGUAGGCUUUUGUAUUUAUUUAUAAUGUUGUAUUGUGAUACCUCAAUAGGGCAUAUCUGAAUGUAUUUGUCUGCCUAGGCCAAAGAUAGUUGUGUAUAUAUGGUAUAGAGGGGCUUGUGUUUAAAUAUUCCCUCUCCAAUGGGUACAGAAGCCAGUUUGGUAAUUAGAUGGGAGAGAAGGCCUCAGUCUCUGUCUGGGCUGCAGCCAAGAAAGGUCUGUUCUCACCCUGAGUUCUGUUAAUGAGCUAGGGACAGGUAAGCAUCACACAUUCCAACUUUCCUGCCUUCAGCAACAUCAAGGAAACAGUGAUGAGCUAUUAAUGGAAGGUGAUGGUCCCUGUGCUAAUUAGUGCUCCCUUUCAGCUUUUACCUGCAUAUGCACUAGCCUAGCUUGCUUCUCUAAAUCCAGUCCUUUGUUUUCCUUAACCAGGAUGAUUUGAGGGUAAGAAUGAAUCAAACUGUUUCCCUCGUUUUUAAGUGGGGGAGGGGGGUGCUUUUUUUUAUAUGCCAAGCCCCUUUUCUCACUUAAUAUCAUCACUUCACUUGGGUCAGGAAAUAGUGGGAGAGGUGGGCUCCUUUGGAAGAGUGAGCCCCAAAUAGCUUUCCUUGUCCUCCCCAUCAUCCUCUCUGAGUUAGGUUAGGUAAAUUUUCACAGGCUCUCACACCUUACACUUUAAAAAAUGGUUUCAAGACCUACUUUGUAGGGAAGAGGAGUGUGUGUGUGUGUGUGUGUGUGUGUGUGUGUGUGUGUGUGUAGGGCUCAACUGUUCUGAAUACCUUUUACAUUCAUUACACUCAGGCUCCUCAUUUUCUCAGAGCUCUCAAACUUUCUGGAUCUCUAGGAAUUUCCAGACAUUGAUUUUCCUCCUAUUCCCUUCCUGGUGAUUCAUACCCUGAUUUUUCUCCCCAUUUAAAUGUAGCAUUUGGGGAUUCUUGAGAAUUUUUACAUGAAGCUUCUGCCUUUCCAGUGCCCAGAUGCAGUCUAGGAAGCAUCCAUGUAACAACUAUCAAGUAGACUUGAAGUUAAAGAGUUUGUAUUCUUAUAAAAAGUUGUUUGUUUUUUAAAGAAUUUGUACUGUAUGUUUUUUUCUUCUACCUGGGACUUAAAGGAUACAGUCUUAAAAAAGGUCAAGCUAAUUUUCUUUUUAUUCUUUGAAACAAAAUUCCACCUCUACAAACUUUCACUUCCUCUUCACCUCUAACCUCUUGGGAUCCUUAGCUUUCUUCAAGGCUCAUCUCAGGCUCCACCUCUCAGAAACCUUUCCUGAUAGCUCUAGUCAUUUGAGCUCAUUCUCUUCUCCAAUUACAUAGUAUUUCAUUGUCUGUGUUAAGUAUUGUAUCUCUGGUAGAUGGAAAGCUCCCCAAGGGCAGAGACUGCUUUUCCUUUUGUGUAUGCCUAUGGUAGACACUUAAUAAACAUUUGCUGCCUUGAAUGGAAAGCCAAAUCUAUAGAACAACUUGUCCCUUCCUUCCCCACCCCUCAGGAUUAUUCUGGCUGUCUGUAAUUCAUAGAGAAAUGGGAAGUGUGAACAAUUCUUUAUAGUGAAUAUUAUCGGUAUAGAUAACCUUGGGAAAGUAGAGGUAGAGGUAAGGAAAUUUCCUUCCUCACUAUCUCUUUCUUUGUCAUUAUUUUUCCUAUAGAAGAAUUGUUUUAGGUCUCUAAUUCUGUUGAGUAAAAAGAGAUUGAAUAAGGAAAGCUCCAAACCCCUCCCAUUCAUUUCUGCUUGAAUUAUGAUGAUAACCCAAAAUUACCCACUUGAUUGUGUUAUGUGGAUUUGGAUUUCAAAAAUAAAAAGAGAUUGAUCUCACUGCACUGGGUCUGUCUUUUCCUUUCCUUAAGGCCCCAGGUUCCUCAGGCAUCUUGCUCUAGGGCAUCCAAUGGGUGGAAAUGAGGUUGGCCCUGCCCAGGAGGGUGUUGAAAAAGAAUUGCAGAUUCUGGUGCUGACCUAGCAUUUUCCCUGUCGGAGUGCCUAUCUUCUCCUUUCCUGGGAAGCCUCCUGCUCCUUGGGCUUUUAAUCCCAGACCUCUGGUUAGAGGUUUGGCCUGUUCUCUGAUGUUCUCUCCGGUCACUGACGCCAGUGGAUGGACCUCUGGAUUGUAGUCCCUUGUUCCUGUCCUCCCAAGGCAAUGCUGAUGUAGUAUGCCUAUUUCUACUGGAUACUUUGCUUAAAAAGCAAACAAACAUAAAAAGACCUUUGAGAGUCUAUUUAAAUAAACUCAGUGAGGAAGGGCAAGACUGGGGUAGAGGUGGUCAAGACACUGCAUCCUCUCAAGCUCCCUACUUGACUGCUAGAAACGUUCCUGAACCCCAGAUUGGGGACUUACUUGGUUCCUGUUCCGGAACCCAGUAGGCUCUGUGCCCCUGCCAAGCCAUGUGAAAUCUGGUGGAUGAAAACCAUUCUCCCUGCUGCCUGUGUUUGUGUUCCCAGAUAUGGCUCCCAACCAGAUAAUGCAAUCACAAAGGCAUUGGAUGGAGCUAAACCUUUCGCUGAGAUCUAAAAUGGAAGAUUUGAGCCCUAGAAGAUGUUCUGCUGAAGCAUGCCUCUAUUCCCUAUUCCUUUAUUAACCUCUCUGGGAAUUCCCCUUAAAAUGACUAUUUCAGUCUUGUCUCGUGGGUUGGGAAGAAAGAGGCCGGAGCUGAUAUGCAAAAAUGGGUCAGUACCGCUUUCUCGGUUCUUCAGAAUCUGCUCUGACUUCAGUAGCUUUCAUCCGCUGGUGCGGGCUGUCCUAGGAUAGGACUCGUUUGCCUUUACUUCUCUGUCCUUGGUGGCUUAUGUCUUUUCUCUGAAUAGCAGAAAUGAUGAUCCCUACGUCUACCUAUUCUGUCAAAAGACAAGAACUCAAAGGAGCCACGGAGAUUAUCUAGUUCAAGCCUCUCAUUUUACAGAUGAAGAAACUAAGACCUGUCCAGAGACAUGGCUGAAAAGGCGCAAGACGGAACAUGGCUUGUACUCCUAGAAGAUGGAGCCGGGAGAGAGCCCCCUUCUGGGGAGGAAAACUUCUCAGGUUAGAGGCCACAAGAAGAGAGAAUGGUGAAAAAAUAAAAUAAAAUAAAGCCCUCUCUCAGAAACUGCCCAAAGGGAGAAGAAAGGCAAAAGACCUCUGAGGACUCUGCUGCCCUGCCCAUCACACCAUAGUGCCACAGCGCAGCAGCUCCCAGGCUGCUCGGUGCCAGGAGGCCAUUUUGAUGGAAGCAAAGAGCCUUCUGCAAGAUAAGAUGGCUGCAUGGGCACGAGAAAUGUAGUCCCUAUGAGUCAGAGCUACCCUUCUCGAAUGCCCUUCUGCAUCUGAUUCUGUUGGUGGUCAAAUUCCCUAAAAGGGAAUCAAGAAGAAGAGAAUCUCAGAAAAGAAGAUUAUGGACCCCUUGAAGUCUGAAGGAUAGUGAGAGAAAAGGAGAGUCUGGCCCACUGAGUCAAAAGGCAGAAUGAUCCUAGGAGGCCAGACUGAAAAGCUCAAGUGCUAUUUAGAUUUCUGAAGGGCAAGUCCCUAGGAGUGGGACAAUCAACUCAUCUUUACUGAGUGACCAAUACUGGGAAAAAGAGAAGACCCUGGAGCUACACAAGCAUACUUUCUGAAGAUGCCAAUCAUAUGGAAACCACUGAACAGUUUGGAGGAAGAUGAAAAUAAGGCAGUGCUUGCUAUCAAGGGCCUGGAGAAACCCUUAAAAAGAGAAGUCAAGUGAAAUUUGGGCAAGACUGAGACCUCAGACCGGGUUUGGGACAUUGAAGACCCUAUGUAAAAACUAUUCUCUCACAGACUUUGAGACACUCCUAGACCUUGUAAUGAACUGUCCUACCCAAGCCCCUAGGCAGGGUAAAGGACGUAGUGUGGAUACCUUUCUGUUGUAACUCUAAUUUUGCUCUUUCCACUCCCUCCCAUUCUUCUUCAAUUAUAUCUUCGGCUUUCAAUAAACAUUUGCCAAACUAA